UAGUCCCUGUUAUAGUCCAGGAAUGGGUAGGCAACCCUGGUGGGUUGGAUUUAGCCAAUCACAGGGCUAAGAUAUAUUUUAUUAGUCCCUGUUAUAGUCCAGGAACAGGGUUACCUUCCCCUGGUGGGUUGGAUUUAGCCAAUCACAGGGCUAAGAUAUAUUUUAUUAGUCCCUGUUAUAGUCCAGGAACAGGGUUACCUUCCCCUGGUGGGUUGGAUUUAGCCAAUCACAGGGCUAAGAUAUAUUUUAUUAGUCCCUGUUAUAGUCCAGGAACAGGGUUACCUUCCCCUGGUGGGUUGGAUUUAGCCAAUCACAGGGCUAAGAUAUAUUUUAUUAGUCCCUGUUAUAGUCCAGGAAUGGGUAGGCAACCCUGGUGGGUUGGAUUUAGCCAAUCACAGGGCUAAGAUAUAUUUUAUUAGUCCCUGUUAUAGUCCAGGAACAGGGUUACCUUCCCCUGGUGGGUUGGAUUUAGCCAAUCACAGGGCUAAGAUAUAUUUUAUUAGUCCCUGUUAUAGUCCAGGAACAGGGUUACCUUCCCCUCUUAUAUGUACAGAAGAGAAUGUGAGGUAUAAAAAUAAUAUAUAAAAUAAUACCAGUUUUAUUUUUUAUAUUUUUCAUCCUGUAAAUAAAAAUCCUUUAUUUUAAUUCUUUACGAUACUAUUGUCCUGUGACACCAAAAGUCUGAAUGUGAUUUAAUAGUGGGCAGGUAGUCUGGUGGUUAGAGGAGGGAGGUAGCCUAGUGGUUAGAGGAGGCAGGUAGCCUAGUGGUUAGAGGAGGCAGGUAGCCUAGUGGUUAGAGGAGGCAGGUAGCCUAGUGGUUAGAGGAGGCAGGUAGCCUAGUGGUUAGAGGAGGCAGGUAGCCUAGUGGUUAGAGGAGGCAGGUAGCCUAGUGGUUAGAGGAGGCAGGUAGCCUAGUGGUUAGAGGAGGCAGGUAGUCUAGUGGUUAGAGGAGGCAGGUAGCCUGGUGGUUAGAGGAGGCAGGUAGCCUAGUGGUUAGAGGAGGCAGGUAGUCUAGUGGUUAGAGGAGGCGGGUAGCCUGGUGGUUAGAGGAGGCAGGUAGCCUAGUGGUUAGAGGAGGCGGGUAGUCUAGUGGUUUGAGGAGGCGGGUAGUCUAGUGGUUUGAGGAGGUGGGUAGCCUGGUGGUUAGAGGAGACAGGUAGCCUGGUGGUUAGAGAAGGCAGGUAGCCUAGUGGUUUGAGGAGGUGGGUAGCCUAGUGGUUAGAGCGUUGGACGAGAAAUCGAAAGGUUGCAAAAUCGAAUCCCCGAGCUGACAAGGUAAAAACCUGUCAUUCUGCCCCUGAACAAGGCAGUUAACCCACAGUUCCCAGGCCGUCAUUGUAAAUAAGAAUUUGUUCUUAACUGACUCGCCUGGUUAAAUAAAAAGGUACAAAUAAAUAAAUAUGAAUGUCAACAUGUUGUGAUUUGUUUAUUAUAACAUAUAGAAAUGUAGGAUAAGGUUAUGUAAAACACAAAUGUAACUUGUUCUUGUGAAAGGAUUAGCUACAAUGUAUUUAUGGAGGGGGAAACGAUUAGCUACAAUGUAUUUAUGGAGGGGAAACGAUUAGCUACAAUGUAUUUAUGGAGGGGGAAACGAUUAGCUACAAUGUAUUUAUGGAGGGGGAAACGAUUAGCUACAAUGUAUUUAUGGAGGGGGAAACGAUUAGCUACAAUGUAUUUAUGGAGGGAGAAAUGAUUAGCUACAAUGUAUUUAUGGAGGGGGAAACGAUUAGCUACAA